UAUAUAUAUAUAUAGAGUUGAGCUAGAAUACUUCUAAAAGCAUCAAGAGGAUGGUGCUUGUGAGUUUUUAACCCUUGGAUAGAAAAAUAUAGGGUUGGGAUGAUGGUGGUAGGUGGAAUAGUGUUUGAUCCAAGGGCUAUUAGUAAUCAAGGAGUAGAUCCAAGGGCUAAAAACCUAAUAGCACCAAAGAGGUGAUACUUGUAAAAGUAUUCUAGCUCAAUUCAGCUCAACUAUAUAUAUAUAUAUAUAUAUGUAUAUAUAUACACUUUCAACCUUUUAUUCAUUAAUACCUU
rnacentral:lncRNA from 1 species